GUGCUCACUUUGGCAGCACAUAUACUAAAAUCAGAAUGAAACAAAGGAGAUUAGCAUGGCCCCUGCACAAGGACGACAUGCAAAUUCAUGAAGCAUUCCAUAGUUUU
ensembl:snRNA U6 U6 spliceosomal RNA